rnacentral:rRNA from 1 species
UACGAAGGGGGCUAGCGUUGCUCGGAAUCACUGGGCGUAAAGGGUGCGUAGGCGGGUCUUUAAGUCAGGGGUGAAAUCCUGGAGCUCAACUCCAGAACUGCCUUUGAUACUGAGGAUCUUGAGUUCGGGAGAGGUGAGUGGAACUGCGAGUGUAGAGGUGAAAUUCGUAGAUAUCGGAAGGAACACCAGUGGCGAAAGCGGCUUCCUGGUCCGACACCGACGUUCAGGCACGAAAGCGUGGGGAGCAAACAGG